rnacentral:rRNA from 1 species
AUUGAACGCUGGCGGCAGGCCUAACACAUGCAAGUCGAGCGGAUGAAGGGAGCUUGCUCCUGGAUUCAGCGGCGGACGGGUGAGUAAUGCCUAGGAAUCUGCCUGGUCGUGGGGGAUAACGUCCGGAAACGGGCGCUAAUACCGCAUACGUCCUGAGGGAGAAAGUGGGGGAUCUUCGGACCUCACGCUAUCAGAUGAGCCUAGGUCGGAUUAGCUAGUUGGUGGGGUAAAGGCCUACCAAGGCGACGAUCCGUAACUGGUCUGAGAGGAUGAUCAGUCACACUGGAACUGAGACACGGUCCAGACUCCUACGGGAGGCAGCAGUGGGGAAUAUUGGACAAUGGGCGAAAGCCUGAUCCAGCCAUGCCGCGUGUGUGAAGAAGGUCUUCGGAUUGUAAAGCACUUUAAGUUGGGAGGAAGGGCAGUAAGUUAAUACCUGGCUGUUUUGACGUUACCAACAGAAUAAGCACCGGCUAACUUCGUG